rnacentral:rRNA from 1 species
GACGAACGCUGGCGGCGUGCUUAACACAUGCAAGUCGAACGGGGUCCAAGCGUUAGCAAUAACGUGGAAGAUCUAGUGGCGAACGGGUGAGUAACACGUGAGGAACCUACCCCGGACUCAGGGAUAACGGCUGGAAACGGCUGCUAAUACCUGAUGCCGUCGGAGCAUCACAUGGUGCACUGACGAAAGAAUCUCGGUUCGGGAGGGUCUCGCGGCCUAUCAGCUAGNGGUGGGGUAACGGCCUACCAAGGCAUCGACGGGUAGCU